rnacentral:tRNA from 1 species
GAGGCUGUAGAAUAAAGAGUUCGUUCCCCUGUCAAGGGAAGAGUGUCGUUAGACUGGUCUUU